ACGGUGUGUUUUUUGGGAUGAAUCUCCUGGACAGAAUCCUAAAUGGUCAACAGAAGGCUGUAAUAUGUCCGAGUAUGUACCUGGAAAGAAAGUACUUUGUUCCUGUAACCAUCUGACAAGUUUUGCCCUAUUAAUGGAUGUCUACCAGAAAUCGGGGGGGAAAACUAGUCACCUCUUAUCUAUUACAUCUUACAUUGGCUGCGGAAUAUCAUUUGUCUGCCUCAUUCUUACAAUAAUAAUUCAUGUUUGUUCCAAAAAUGUAUGGAAAUCAAUGGCUUCAAAGAUUUUGGUAAACUUGUGCGUUUCUUUGGCUAUCACUAAUUUGAUCUUUCUUGUUGGGAUGCAACCGUAUGCCUCAAAAAUAACAGCUGCUUGUAAGGUAAGUGACAACACAUUUUACCAAGUUGUAUGUAUUUUGUUUUAUAUGAAACUUUACAAACAACCUUAAAUUG